AGGAGUCUCUAUUGGAGAUGGAGGUGUACUGGACAGCAGAGGAGGCUGGACAACCAGGAGGACUUGCUGUGUACCAGCUCCCUGCUGACGGUCACCACUGUCUAAAUGCAUGGGCACCACAUCUAACUGUAACUCUGUGUGAGUGUGUGUGAUGUUAAGCAUACAAUACGACAUUUUAGAGAAUCCUCUUGUUCUGUCUUUAACAAAUUAAGAUAAGAAAAUGGAUAUCAGUUUCAUCUUUGUGUGUCCAGUAUUGAGUUAGGUCCAGGACGUCUUUCCCCAGCUAGGCAGAAAUACUGGAAUUAGGAAGAAACUGCUAGCUCAACUUAAACUCAACAACUUAAAACUCCAAAGCUAUCUGAUUUAAACAAACAGUUUCUACUUUUAUAAAUCUGUAUCAUUACAUGGGUCUUCCAAACUCUGAGUGAUGUAAUAUUAAUUUGCUCACAUCCAUGCAGACCUGUUUGCCAUCCACCCUGCUGUCUCUGUCCUUUUUGUAGUAUUUUUGAGACUUUAAUUAUCCACAUACAGUUAAUCAUUUCUAUACUGAAGCACAAAGAAGAAACUGAUAACAAUCCUCUCAUAUGACUCUGAGAAAGACAGGGAACAAGAAGAUUUACCGAAAUGUCGGUCUGUUCCUUUAAUGAAUGUGUGCGAGAAAGGGAACUUCACCGUCAUUGCUGUACAUCACCUCAACUGAUAGCUUUAUGUGUGAGUGUGUCGCCACUGUACAGCACUUCGGACAAAAUGUGUGUGUCAGUGCAUGACGCUUGUAAAGACAAACAACUAAACAAGGUCAGAUGAGCGUGUAUGUUUGCAUCAUGUGUUUCAUGCUACAUCUUAUGCUACAUUUAUCUCACAGAAUCUUUAACAAAAUUACAAAAAAUGGGGUUCAGAAUCAAAUCCUCAAACAGACCAUGAGAUUUCGGGGAGCAAUAUUGUUCUGCGUGAUGUACCUGGCUGUGCACUAACAAUAAAUCACACAUGACUACUUUUACAUCAGGGCCACAGAACACAUCAACUGUAGCAAUGCAGACAUUGACAACUGAGAUUUGAUACCAAAUCCUGAAUGGUUUUUAUAGAAACUCUGUUUACAAUUAAAAUAUCAGUUGAUGAGAGCUUUUGUAACUGAAAUGAAAACGCGACCUGAUUUAUGGGGUUGUGAAACACUAGUGAAACCGUGUUGAUCAGGGAUGGGGAACAAUGUGCCACAUAAGGAUUUUGAACACAUUUUUAAUCUGCAACAUCAGCUGCUGGUAUGCUUUGAUUGGAGUUUAUGUUGCGUCACAUCGUAUCAUUGAGACGUUACUUAAAAAACUCAUUCACACCAACUCUGAGUUGUAAUUUCUUGUUGGAGGUAUAUGGAAUUUCUGAUUUUCUAGUAAAAGAACUGGAGAAAACAGUUGUAAAAUGUUUGAAAAGUCACCACCACUUGCAAUUACAUCUAAAAAAAGGCACUAUUAAAACAAUCAUGAAACUGAUUCAAAUAUUUGAAUAGGAGCACUGCACUUAUGUGUAGCAUAUUAGCUAAAUAUAGUUCAUAUGGUAAAAAUAUUGAUCUCCAUUUAUCUGGUGUGGCUACAAUGUUAGCAACAGACUUGUUUCAAUCAGCCCUUGGUUGUCACCGCCUCCAUUGUUUCCAGUGUAAACAUGAUUAGAGCUGUGUCGCCGAGGUGGGCGGCAGUAGGAUGUUGCUUUUGUGAAUCUCUACGGUUAUUUGCGAUGAUGACUGAACUUUUUUUAAUGUGCUGCUGCAGCUUGCUGUAAGACAAUGGCCGACACAGAUACCACACCAAUUAAAACAAUACAUAAUACAUCUGGUUUUUGUUUUUGGGCCUGAGUACCAUGAAUGAUACAACUAUCAGCAAACAUAACAAUGAAAAACAACUAAUUUGAAAAGAAAGCAUGAAAAACGUGCAAAGUGACAAUAUCAAUUAGUGCAUUUAGGUGCUGACGUGGCCUAUAUGCAUUAUAAGAUCUUUAGCUUUUCAUGGCACAUGGCUCCCUGUCCCUGCUGUCGUCUUUACUGUUGGCAGGAUGUUUACAGAUCUACCUACCAAGGUACCAGCUUAUGCAUGUUUACUGAAAUCAACAGUGAUGCGUUGACUGUGUGGAGACAAUUUCAAAGAUGUGAAGAUACACCUUAAGUCAACUUUACAUUUAGUUGUCCAGACUGUUGCAGCGUCUGUACAGUCAGGACAGACAGAGCUCAAGUCAGUGCUGACAUUCCACUAAAAGCAGGUACAGUGUGAGUAAAUCUGAAAUCUACUGAUUCCAGGUCUGCAGUUCGGGAAAAUGUGCAAUAAUACCUCAAGCUACUUUUAAUAUGACAAUGACAGUGUUAUGUGCGCUUCCUGUCUGGUGUCCAUCGAAUGCAGUAACUCGUUUUAAAUCAAACUGAUGCACAAACGUAAAGAGACACCACAAGUGCACAGCAAUCCUAGAAUCUAAAAUGGCAAGAGCAACGGCUAUGUAGAUACAGUAAUUACAUUAUUUCUUUACAUUGUUUUCCAUGAGAGGGACCUAAGAAAACAACUUUUUGCACAUCAUUUUUUAUACGAAAAGUUCUCCCUACCUUUCUGUACCAGGGACUGAGGCCAGUGGAACGACUGUAGAUAGAACGACAGUGUAUGUUGAUGUUUUCUUUAUAAACUAUCAUAGUGAUUUAUGGAGGAAAAAAAUAAGUUUAUUGUCAUUGUGUUGGACAUAUUUCAAUAUUUUUCUUGUGAUGGUUACAAAACCAAUGUGAACAGUUACUAUGAUCUUUAAAAUUUACUUAAUUUACUCAAAAGCUGGUAUAACUUUGAUUUACCAUUUUCAAAGAGUGAACACAAAAUGUGAAUAUUAUUGUCUCUUUAAAUGGCUAAAUUGAAUUUUACUGUUGUUUUGUGUCAUUAUGACAUGUACAUAUUGAUUUUGUCAGAAGGUGCAGAUGAGGUUGGAGUUAGUAACCGGACAUGCUGAUGCCAUCAGACGCCUCCAGUGAUUUAUCAUGUGAUUCUGUAGGUUUAUAGCUGUGUUAUGGAGGCUGUACAUACAGCACAGAGAUUUACAUUGUAGUAUUAGUACGUUUAACACUCAUAAUAUUGUCAAAAUUCAUGGAAAGUGGUUCAGUUUGUUCUGAAUGUUAAAUGUGGCAUCCAUGAAUUAUGAGUAGGAUCACCGACACUGUAAUACUUAAAGAACACAACAUUUUAGAUACAUCUUUUUGUUCUCUGUCUUCUCCAGAGUCACAUGAUUCAGAUAGAUAUCCAUUUCAUCACUGUGUGUCCAGUACAAAAAUUGCUCUGUAAUGUGUCAAAAGACGGAAACAUCCAACAACUGAGGAUAAAAACGUUUGAUCUUAUUCAUUUAACAUGUAUAUUUUAGAAAUAUAGUAAUGACAAGUUGUGGUUUUACAGGAUGUGCUUAGUUUAGUUGGCAACAACAGGGGAAGUGCUAGCCUAUUCCCAUCAAAAACCGUACAAUGCCAGCAGUGCUUUAACCUACAUGCUUAUGUCAGCAUGCUAACAUGCUAAAAAGAACAAUUAUAACAUGCUGAUGUUUAGCAGCUAGUGGUUACUUAAUUUACCAUGCUAACAUUUGUUUAAUUAAACAUCAAGUACAGCUGAUGGGAAUUUAAUUCAUUUUGGAGGUAUGUAGUCCUAAACAAAGAAACUUAUCAUAUUAAAUUUUGAUUAAUUCUGAAGAUGGUGCUCCAUGAAAAGUCAGUGUAUCUGGAAAAAUAUUACAAUCAAUACUGAGGGCGCCAUGACUGUUUGAACCAAAUUUCAUGGAAAUCUGUUUGUUAGUCCAAUAGUUGUGAAUAUUUUUCAGUCAGGACCAGUCAUAGUGGAUCUAGAGCCAUGCUGUUAGUGCUGCUGAAAACUUUCUAAAAACUCCUAAGCUCUCUAAUUUACCUGUUGGUUCCUGUAAGCUAAGUAGCUAGUCAUCAAUCCAACAACUGCUAAAAUAAUUGCUACACUUCUGCUUCUCUUGCAGAAGAAAAAAUGCACCUUAAGUUGUGUCCUUAAAAUGUGGCUUAGGCCAAAGUAACUGUUUUUUUUUUUUAAAUCAGACAGCUUCAGAAGAUUUUUCUCUUUCAGUUGAGCUUGGUAAGCAGUUUCCAUUUGCUUCCAGUCUUUGUGAUAAGCCAACACAGCCUGGGCCUAUUUCUGUACUGGACACAUAGAGGAAUCUAAUAUCCAUCCUCUCAUCUGACUUUGGAGAAGACAAAGAAUAAGACAAUUUGCAGAGAUGUCGAACUGUUUGUUUAAAACACUUUAAACACUUAGACUUGGAGAGAAAAUACUUGGAAUCUGUUUGUUUCCAUGUUUUCCCUAUGUUUCGACUGUGACUCAAACAGUCUGAAUAAUGGAUGACGAAGAAAGAAUUUUCCCUUCCCACCCGCCCACCCUUCACUCUCUUUGCUUACGUUACACAAGGACACUGAGAGCUGAAAAUAGCGCUGCUGUCCUCAUGUGAUGUGAAAUUAAAAGCACACUGGAGCGGAGACACUUGCUGCUGGGGAACUCAACACUUGUUUUACUCCAUCUGACAAUCCCUCCAUCCAGCCUGCAACACCACCUCCAUCUGUCUGUGCAAGGGUACGUUUCACAACAGCAAGCUUUUUGGAAUAUGAUGAUGUACAUGUGAUUGUAAUAAAGAGAUUUUAAUUAGC